GCGUCGGUAGUGCAAUGGUUAAUAUACGCUCCCCGAAACAGUGAGAUCUGGUUUCGAAUCCGGCUGACGCA